GAUGAACGCUGGCGGCGUGCUUAACACAUGCAAGUCGAACGGAAAGGCUCCUGCUUGCAGGGGUACUCGAGUGGCGAACGGGUGAGUAACACGUGGGUGAUCUGCCCAGCACUUCGGGAUAAGCCUGGGAAACUGGGUCUAAUACCGGAUAGGACGAAGGUUUGGAUGCCAUUGUGGAAAGUUUUUUCGGUGUGGGAUGAGCUCGCGGCCUAUCAGCUUGUUGGUGGGGUAAUGGCCUACCAAGGCGUCGACGGGUAGCCGGCCUGAGAGGGUGUACGGCCACAUUGGGACUGAGAUACGGCCCAGACUCCUACGGGAGGCAGCAGUGGGGAAUAUUGCACAAUGGGCGCAAGCCUGAUGCAGCGACGCCGCGUGGGGGAUGACGGCCUUCGGGUUGUAAACUCCUUUCGCUAGGGACGAAGCGCAAGUGACGGUACCUGGAGAAGAAGCACCGGCUAACUACGUG
rnacentral:rRNA from 1 species